CAGGUUUGGGACGUGAUGGAGAACGAGCUGCUCAAGUCUCUGGGCUCCUGUGAAAGGAUUGGUGGCAGAAAUGUCCUCAGAGUUGCUGGGAGGAUUCAAUGGAAGAUGCAUGUGAAGCACCUGGCUGAACGCCCAGAGCUCUGCAGACACUCAGGAAUGAGUAAACACGCAGAUUUUCUGCUCCUUUAGACCGGAUAUUCUAAGAAACUUCCUGCUAUGGAUUAACUAGAUCCUGAUUGUGUUUUUCAUUUCCAGGCUUAGAGGAAAUAAAGGAAAUAUCCCAGGAGCAAAAACAAAACACACACAUGCACGCUCUCACGAGUCACCGGCACCCCAGCUGAAAGGUCAGGUCCACACCUGUGGGACCUAUGGGCCUGUUUCUGAGCUCUGUGCUGUCUCUUUGAUCUGAGUGUCUAUCUGAGGCCAGUACCACAGUACCAAAUGUGGUUGCUUUAGAGGAAGUCUUGGAAUCAGAUGGGAGAGCAUAACUCUCACAUGUCAGUCCUCCAUUUCCUGAGGCUUCUUCAGGCGUUCCUGUGUGGUCCACCCUGGAGAACCGCUCCCUCUCCUCUCGAGAGGAACGUGGCUACGGCUGUGUGUGGACCGUUUGGCAGAGGCCCGUCUACUGGAUCCCCUGGUUCAAGGGGUUUGUUCCCGUCUGCUUGUUGAUCUUCCACCUAGUGGCUCCAUCACUCAUUCAAGCCCCCCGAUGUCCUUUUUGGUUAUUGUUUACAUGGUGUGUCUCUUUCCACCUUUCCCCGUUGGACUCUGACGCGUCUCU